GUAGGUGGCAAGCGUUGUCCGGAAUUAUUGGGCGUAAAGCGCGCGCAGGUGGUUCGUUUAAGUCUGAUGUGAAAGACCCCCCGGGCUCGAAACCCGGGGAGGGGUCAUUGGAAAACUGGGGGAACUUGAGUGCAGGAGAGGAAAGUGGAGUUCCACGUGUAGCGGUGAAAUGCGUAGAUAUGUGGAGGAACACCAGUGGCGAAGGCGACUUUCUGGCCUGUAACUGACACUGAGGCGACGAAAGCGGUGGGGAGACAAACAGGAUUAGACUACCCUGGUAGUCCACCGACCGUAAACGAUGAGUGCUAAGUGUGGGGGUUUCCGCCCCUCAGUGCUGCAGCUAACGCAUUAAGCACUCCGCCUGGGGAGUACGGUCGCAAAGACUG
rnacentral:rRNA from 1 species